AUUAUUAUUUUGUUAAAUUGUUUUAUAAAUAUAAACUCGGGUUUAUAUUUGAUAAACGUUUUGAGUCGGAUUAGACUUGGGUCAUCCGACAAGUGAGGUUAGCUUGGUAGUUAAUGAUAACUCGGUUAACCCACUAUUUGAAAAUUAUUUAUUAUUUAAAAUUAUUAAAUAAUAUUUAUACAUUGGACUUUCAAGCGAGAACUCAAUAGACUUAUAUUAAUUGGGCUUUAUUUCCUAAUGGGUAUUAUUUGUGUGUGCUUUGGAUUGUUUAUUCCGACAUGUUAUUUGCGCUAGUCCUAUGUGGUGUCUAGUACUCUCUAGAGUUAGGGUCUGUUUUAAUAAUUAUUUUAUUUGUCUAGACCCGUCUACUGUUCGUGCUUCAGAGGCGAACCAGGAUUAGUUGCUUGCCGGUAUUCACGUGGAUUAGCAAGCAGGUUAUGAUCUGAGAGAGUCUGGUGAUCUCCGCAUUUACUUUUCCUCGGAGGUUCCAUUUAUUUUAGUAGAACUGUGAAACUGUUUUAUUCUUAGACCGCAGUAGUAACUAGACGUCUUUAUUAUUAUUAUAUUUUUGUCGGAUUGGUUCGACUGGUUUUAUUGCUUUGGCAUGUUAUAUCAUUUAAUUUGGGUUAUGAUAAAUCUAUUUCAGACUCGGAAUUGGAUAAGCAUGUUA